UAAGAAUAUGAUUUUAUAAAUAUUAUUUAUUUAUUUUUUUUCCAGACACAUUUCCGUGAAGACGCAAUUCUGUCAAACAUUAAGCUGAUUUUUUUUACUGAAAACAGCUGAACAUUCCAUCUUGGAAAAAAUGCCUACCGAUAGACGAAAAGAAGAGCAUGCUGAAGGCAUAUUCAUUUGUGGUGUUUUGCUUGGUAUAUUUUUCAUUAUCCUGCUUGCAUUUUUAUUCCGGAUGCUCUGUUCAAUUCGGAGGGAAAAUGAUGAUAAGAAAACGAAGUGUAUAAAGUGACACUGCCGAUGCAGACUUCUCUUCAACUGCCAUUUCAUCAGAAGCAUUAUUCAAAACAGAUGACAGUUUAACUGAAAAUGUGAAGAGGAAUAGAUGCUGAAUUCACAAGAGUACAUUAUUAUGACGUGUGAUAAUGAGGAAGUCCGUGCACUUCAAAUGAAAGAUGUAUAUAUUUUGGGGUGUUACACAGAAACCUGCUAUCUGAUACGAUAAACCCUGGGGGAAAUCAUUUACAACUACAGUAAAACCUCGUUUAUCAAGACUAACUGGGACCAAAGGCAAUACGGAUGCACGAAUAUUCGGAUAAUCCCAGUAAUAUAGGACAUGAAUGAAACAGAUUCUUAAAUAAGCAGACUUAUCUUUUAUUACAAAAAAAAAAAAAAAA